UGGGGAAUAUUGGACAAUGGGCGCAAGCCUGAUCCAGCAAUGCCGCGUGAGUGAUGAAGGCCUUAGGGUUGUAAAGCUCUUUCGGCGGGGAAGAUGAUGACGGUACCCGCAGAAGAAGCCCCGGCUAACUUCGUGCCAGCAGCCGCGGUAAUACGAAGGGGGCUAGCGUUGUUCGGAAUUACUGGGCGUAAAGGGCGCGUAGGCGGCGCGUUAAGUCAGGUGUGAAAGCCCUGGGCUCAACCCAGGAAUUGCACUUGAUACUGACGUGCUUGAAUCCGGAAGAGGAUGACGGAAUUCCCAGUGUAGAGGUGAAAUUCAUUGAUAUUGGGAAGAACACCAGUGGCGAAGGCGGUCAUCUGGUCCGGUAUUGACGCUGAGGCGCGAAAGCGUGGGGAGCAAACAGGAUUAGAUACCCUGGUAGUCCACGCCGUAAACGAUGAGUGCUAGACGUCGGGGGUUGCCGUCUCGGUGUCGCCGCUAACGCAUUAA
rnacentral:rRNA from 1 species